rnacentral:rRNA from 1 species
AUUGAACGCUGGCGGCAGGCCUAACACAUGCAAGUCGAACGGCAGCACAGAAGAGCUUGCUCUUUGGGUGGCGAGUGGCGGACGGGUGAGUAAUGUCUGGGAAACUGCCCGAUGGAGGGGGAUAACUACUGGAAACGGUAGCUAAUACCGCAUAACGUCGCAAGACCAAAGUGGGGGACCUUCGGGCCUCACACCAUCGGAUGUGCCCAGAUGGGAUUAGCUAGUAGGUGGGGUAAUGGCUCACCUAGGCGACGAUCCCUAGCUGGUCUGAGAGGAUGACCAGCCACACUGGAACUGAGACACGGUGCAGACGCCUACGGGGGGCAGCAGUGUGGAAUAUUGCACAAUGGGCGCAAGCCUGAUGCAGCCAUGCGGCGUGUAUGAAGACGGCCUUCGGGUUGUAAAGUACUUUCAGCGGGGAGGAAGGCGGUGAGGUUAAUAACCUCGCCGAUUGACGUUACCCGCAGAAGAAGCACCGGCUAACUCCGUGCCAGCAGCCGCAGUAA